rfam:Ictidomys tridecemlineatus contig022585, whole genome shotgun sequence.
GGGAAUGUAGCUCAGUGGUAGAGUGCUUGCCUAGCAUGCCUGAGGCCCUGGGUUCAAUUCCCUGUGCACCAG